GAUGAAGAACGCAGCGAAAUGCGAUAAGUAAUGUGAAUUGCAGAAUUCAGUGAAUCAUCGAAUCUUUGAACGCACCUUGCGCCCUUUGGCUAUUCCAGAGGGCAUGCCUGUUUGAGUAUCAUGAACACCUCAACUCUCAUGGUUCUGCCAUGAUGAGCUUGGACUUUGGAGGUCUUGCUGGCCCCUGUGGUCAGCUCCUCUCUAAUGGAUCAGCUUGCCAGUGUUUGGUGGCAUCACAGGUGUGAUAACUAUCUACGCUUGUGGUUUUCCACCAGGUAACCUUCAGUGAUGGAGGUUCGCUGGAGCUCAUAAACGUCUCUCCUCAGCGAGGACAGCUUCUUGAACGUUUGAUCUCAAAUCAGGUAGGGCUACCCGCUGAACUUAAGCAUAUCAAUAAGCGGAGGA
rnacentral:misc_RNA from 1 species